UACGUAGGUGGCAAGCGUUGUCCGGAAUUACUGGGCGUAAAGGGUGCGUAGGCGGUUCGUUAAGUCUGUUGUGAAAUCCCCGAGCUCAACUUGGGAAUUGCAAUGGAUACUGGCAGGCUGGAGUAUGGUAGAGGAAGGUGGAAUUCCCGGUGUAGCAGUGAAAUGCGUAGAGAUCGGGAGGAACACCAGUGGCGAAGGCGGCCUUCUGGACCAAUACUGACGCUCAUGCACGAAAGCGUGGGGAGCAAACAGG
rnacentral:rRNA from 1 species